rnacentral:rRNA from 1 species
CCUACGGGAGGCAGCAGUGGGGAAUUUUGGACAAUGGGCGCAAGCCUGAUCCAGCAAUGCCGCGUGCAGGAUGAAGGCCUUCGGGUUGUAAACUGCUUUUGUACGGAACGAAACGGUGAGCUCUAAUACAGUUUGCUAAUGACGGUACCGUAAGAAUAAGCACCGGCUAACUACGUGCCAGCAGCCGCGGUAAUACGUAGGGUGCGAGCGUUAAUCGGAAUUACUGGGCGUAAAGCGUGCGCAGGCGGUGAUGUAAGACAGAUGUGAAAUCCCCGGGCUCAACCUGGGACCUGCAUUUGUGACUGCAUCGCUAGAGUACGGUAGAGGGGGAUGGAAUUCCGCGUGUAGCAGUGAAAUGCGUAGAUAUGCGGAGGAACACCGAUGGCGAAGGCAAUCCCCUGGACCUGUACUGACGCUCAUGCACGAAAGCGUGGGGAGCAAACAGGAUUAGAUACCCUGGUAGUCCACGCCCUAAACGAUGUCAACUGGUUGUUGGGUCUUCACUGACUCAGUAACGAAGCUAACGCGUGAAGUUGACCGCCUGGGGAGUACGGCCGCAAGGUUGAAACUCAAAGGAUUGACGGCUGAGACGNGCGAGGACGACACGAGGGGAGGAGG